AGAGUUUGAUCCUGGCUCAGGACGAACGCUGGCGGUGUGCUUCACACAUGCAAGUCGAGCGAAUGAAGUAGGUAGCUUGCUACUUAUGGAUUUAGCGGCGGACGGGUGAGUAAUAUAUAGGAAUCUGCCUUAGAGCGGGGAACAACAGACCGAAAGGUUUGCUAAUGCCCCAUAGGUAUGCAGUCUUCGGAUUGUAUAUUAAAGGAGUAAUCCACUCUAAGAUGAGCCUGUAUCCGAUUAGCUAGUUGGCGGGGUAAAGGCCCACCAAGGCUACGAUCGGUAGUUGGUCUGAGAGGAUGAUCAGCCACAAUGGGACUGAGACACGGCCCAUACUCCUACGGGAGGCAGCAGUGGGGAAUUUUACACAAUGGGGGAAACCCUGAUGUAGCGACACCGCGUGAACGAAGAAGCCUUUUGGGGUGUAAAGUUCUGUCGGCUGGAACGAAAAAAAUGACGGUACCAGCAAAGGAAGCAUCGGCUAACUACGUGCCAGCAGCCGCGGUAAGACGUAGGAUGCAAGCGUUGUCCGGAUUUAUUGGGCGUAAAGAGUUCGUGGGCGGUUAUUUAAGUCUGAUGUUAAAUACUGUGGCCCAACCACAGAACUGCAUUGGAUACUGGAUGACUUGAGUGCGGUAGAGGCAAGUGGAAUUCCCAGUGUAGCGGUGAAAUGCGUAGA
rnacentral:rRNA from 1 species